UACAGGCUUAACACAUGCAAGUCGAGGGGCAGCAUGGUUUCAGCUUGCUGAGACUGAUGGCGACCGGCGCACGGGUGAGUAACGCGUAUCCAACCUGCCCUUUACUCCGGGAUAGUCUCCUGAAAGGGAGUUUAAUACCGGAUGUGUUUGUCUUUCCGCAUGGGAGCGACAAAUAAAGAUUAAUUGGUAAAGGAUGGGGAUGCGUCCCAUUAGCUAGUUGGCGGGGUAACGGCCCACCAAGGCGACGAUGGGUAGGGGUUCUGAGAGGAAGGUCCCCCACAUUGGAACUGAGACACGGUCCAAACUCCUACGGGAGGCAGCAGUGAGGAAUAUUGGUCAAUGGGCGGGAGCCUGAACCAGCCAAGUAGCGUGAAGGACGACGGCCCUACGGGUUGUAAACUUCUUUUAUAAGGGAAUAAAGUGCGUUACGUGUAAUGUUUUGUAUGUACCUUAUGAAUAAGCAUCGGCUAAUUCCGUGCCAGCAGCCGCGGUAAUACGGAAGAUGCGAGCGUUAUCCGGAUUUAUUGGGUUUAAAGGGAGCGUAGGCGGGCUUUUAAGUCAGCGGUCAAAUGUCACGGCUCAACCGUGGCCAGCCGUUGAAACUGCAAGCCUUGAGUCUGCACAGGGCACAUGGAAUUCGUGGUGUAGCGGUGAAAUGCUUAGAUAUCACGAAGAACUCCGAUCGCGAAGGCAUUGUGCCGGGGCAGCACUGACGCU
rnacentral:rRNA from 1 species